rnacentral:pre_miRNA from 1 species
GUAAAAGGUAUUGCUACAUAUAGCACUGGCUUGCAAGGAGAAAUCUGGCCAGUGCUCAUGUAACAAUCCCUCUAGCU